AUUGAACGCUGGCGGAAUGCCUUACACAUGCAAGUCGAGCGGCAGCGCGGGGCAACCUGGCGGCGAGCGGCGAACGGGUGAGUAAUGCAUCGGAACAUGUCCAUGUCGUGGGGGAUAGCCCGGCGAAAGCCGGAUUAAUACCGCAUACGCCCGAGAGGGGAAAGUGGGGGACCGCAAGGCCUCACGCGAUUGGGUUGGCCGAUGUCCGAUUAGCUAGUUGGCGGGGUAAGAGCCCACCAAGGCGAUGAUCGGUAGCUGGUCUGAGAGGAUGAUCAGCCACACUGGGACUGAGACACGGCCCAGACUCCUACGGGAGGCAGCAGUGGGGAAUUUUGGACAAUGGGGGCAACCCUGAUUCAGCCAUUCCGCGUGAGUGAAGAAGGCCUUCGGGUUGUAAAGCUCUUUUGUCCGGAACGAAACGGCUAGCGUGAAUAUCCUCUGCUAAUGACGGUACCUGAAGAAUAAGCACCGGCUAACUACGUGCCAGCAGCCGCAGUAAAAC
rnacentral:rRNA from 1 species